rnacentral:rRNA from 1 species
UACGUAGGUGGCAAGCGUUGUCCGGAAUUACUGGGUGUAAAGGGCGUGUAGCCGGGGGAGCAAGUCAGGUGUGAAGGGCAUGGGCUCAACCCAUGGAUUGCAUUUGAAACUGCUUUUCUUGAGUACCGGAGGGGCAAUCGGAAUUCCUAGUGUAGCGGUGAAAUGCGUAGAUAUUAGGAGGAACACCAGUGGCGAAGGCGGAUUGCUGGACGGAGACUGACGGUGAGGCGCGAAAGUGUGGGGAGCAAAC